UUAAAUUGAAGAGUUUGAUCAUGGCUCAGAUUGAACGCUGGCGGCAGGCCUAACACAUGCAAGUCGAACGGUAACAGGAAUCAGCUUGCUGAUUCGCUGACGAGUGGCGGACGGGUGAGUAAUGUCUGGGAAACUGCCUGAUGGAGGGGGAUAACUACUGGAAACGGUAGCUAAUACCGCAUAAUGUCGCAAGACCAAAGAGGGGGACCUUCGGGCCUCUUGCCAUCGGAUGUGCCCAGAUGGGAUUAGCUAGUAGGUGGGGUAACGGCUCACCUAGGCGACGAUCCCUAGCUGGUCUGAGAGGAUGACCAGCCACACUGGAACUGAGACACGGUCCAGACUCCUACGGGAGGCAGCAGUGGGGAAUAUUGCACAAUGGGCGCAAGCCUGAUGCAGCCAUGCCGCGUGUAUGAAGAAGGCCUUCGGGUUGUAAAGUACUUUCAGCGGGGAGGAAGGGAGUAAAGUUAAUACCUUUGCUCAUUGACGUUACCCGCAGAAGAAGCACCGGCUAACUCCGUGCCAGCAGCCGCGGUAAUACGGAGGGUGCAAGCGUUAAUCGGAAUUACUGGGCGUAAAGCGCACGCAGGCGGUUUGUUAAGUCAGAUGUGAAAUCCCCGGGCUCAACCUGGGAACUGCAUCUGAUACUGGCAAGCUUGAGUCUCGUAGAGGGGGGUAGAAUUCCAGGUGUAGCGGUGAAAUGCGUAGAGAUCUGGAGGAAUACCGGUGGCGAAGGCGGCCCCCUGGACGAAGACUGACGCUCAGGUGCGAAAGCGUGGGGAGCAAACAGGAUUAGAUACCCUGGUAGUCCACGCCGUAAACGAUGUCGACUUGGAGGUUGUGCCCUUGAGGCGUGGCUUCCGGAGCUAACGCGUUAAGUCGACCGCCUGGGGAGUACGGCCGCAAGGUUAAAACUCAAAUGAAUUGACGGGGGCCCGCACAAGCGGUGGAGCAUGUGGUUUAAUUCGAUGCAACGCGAAGAACCUUACCUGGUCUUGACAUCCACGGAAGUUUUCAGAGAUGAGAAUGUGCCUUCGGGAACCGUGAGACAGGUGCUGCAUGGCUGUCGUCAGCUCGUGUUGUGAAAUGUUGGGUUAAGUCCCGCAACGAGCGCAACCCUUAUCCUUUGUUGCCAGCGGUCCGGCCGGGAACUCAAAGGAGACUGCCAGUGAUAAACUGGAGGAAGGUGGGGAUGACGUCAAGUCAUCAUGGCCCUUACGACCAGGGCUACACACGUGCUACAAUGGCGCAUACAAAGAGAAGCGACCUCGCGAGAGCAAGCGGACCUCAUAAAGUGCGUCGUAGUCCGGAUUGGAGUCUGCAACUCGACUCCAUGAAGUCGGAAUCGCUAGUAAUCGUGGAUCAGAAUGCCACGGUGAAUACGUUCCCGGGCCUUGUACACACCGCCCGUCACACCAUGGGAGUGGGUUGCAAAAGAAGUAGGUAGCUUAACCUUCGGGAGGGCGCUUACCACUUUGUGAUUCAUGACUGGGGUGAAGUCGUAACAAGGUAACCGUAGGGGAACCUGCGGUUGGAUCACCUCCUUACCUUAAAGAA
rnacentral:rRNA from 1 species